UUUUUUAAUAAAAGAUUAAUAUAAUUGUAUAAGAACCAAUAACCUUGGGAGGUGUGGAUAGGAACAAAAUUCGAUUACUCUAUAUAGCCGUACACGAAAUGACAACACGGGGCGUAGAAUUGGACUCGUACGCUACAGAGCAUACGACAGUUGACCUAGCAGGCGUGCAGAUUGUGGCUUAGUUUAGUUGGUUUCCUCAUUACUCAACUACAGACUAAACAAAUAAAAACAAGUAUACUAUUAAGAAGAAUCAACAAUAUUAGAUUUCCGCAAGUAACAUUGUGAAGUUCUUUUUGGUUCUAUUAGCAAUAUAAUCAUAUAUUUAUAUACCAAAAAGUUCAAACAUAUACCUUUAGAAUUCUAUUAACAUAUAAACGUAUUGUAUUAUACAAUAGAGGGGGUAAAUACGAGUAAAAACAUUCUACAUGUGAUAAUAUAAAUACUUCACACUUUCGACAAACUAAGGAUGAUGCCCUUGCAUUUGCAAGGGCCACCUUGCUAGUUUAUGAAAACAUCACGCAAACCUGUAGGUGUUUCAAUUGAUACUUGGAGAUGAUACCAAUAUAUAACCAAUGAGAGCUUUCUACAGAUAUCAAUGAAUGCGCACUACCGAAUUCCUGCAAUGGGCCAUGUCAAAAUUUCCCUAGAGGCUACAUAUGCACAAGUUGCCCUCGUAGAAAAGAGUUUGAUCCCAUAAAAAGGCAGUGUGUUACAUCGGCGAAGCAACACCAUCUUCUUUUGGGUAUUGCAACUGGAACUGGAUGUGGCCUUGGCUCCAUAAUUAUUGCAGUCUUUGUAGUUGUAUUCACCAACAAGUGGAAGAAAGGCAUCCAAAAGAGAAUCCGACGAACACACUUCAAGAAAAAUCAAGGUCUACUCCUGGAGCAGCUCAUCUCAGAUGACAGCGCCACAAACAAAACAAAAAUAUUCUCCUUGGAGGAGCUAGAGAAGGCAACCAACAACUUCGAUGCCACUCGUGUUCUUGGUCGUGGAGGACACGGUACGGUUUAUAAAGGGAUUCUAUCUGACCAACGAGUGGUGGCUAUUAAAAAGUCCAAAAUUGUGGAGCAAACUGAGAUAAACCAGUUUAUCAAUGAGGUUGCUAUCUUGUCUCAAAUCAUUCAUCGUAAUGUGGUAAAGCUAUUCGGUUGUUGCCUCGAAUCUGAGGUGCCAUUGCUCGUGUAUGAGUUCAUAUCAAAUGGUACACUGCAUGACCUUCUUCACGUUGAUGUUGGUGUUAAAUGCUUGCUGUAAUGGGAUGAUCGCAUUAGGAUUGCAGUUGAAGCAGCAGGGGCACUUGCUUAUCUGCACUCGGCUGCUGCAAUACCAAUUUUCCAUAGAGACGUGAAAUCUUCUAACAUACUAUUGGAUGGCAGCUUCACUACAAAGAUUUCUGACUUUGGUGCUUCAAGGUCUGUUUCACUCGAUGAAACUCAUGUGGUCACUAUUGUCCAAGGAACAUUUGGUUACCUAGAUCCUGACUAUUACCAUACUGGACAACUAACUGAAAAGAGUGAUGUGUAUAGUUUUGGGGUAAUACUUGUGGAACUUUUCACGAGGAAAAAGCCAAUUUUUAUCAAUGAUCAAGGUGCAAAACAAAACCUGUCCCAUUAUUUCAUGGAAGGAUUGCAAGAGGGGGAUAUCAUGGAAAUAUUGGAUCCUCAGGUUGUUAAAGAGGCAAACCCAGAAGAGAUCGAUGAUAUUUGCUCACUUACAGAAGCAUGCUUGAGACUCAAAGGAAGAGACAGACCUACUAUGAAAGAAGUAGAUAUGAGGUUGCAAUUCCUGAGAACCAAGAGGUUAAGGAAAUGCAAAGUUCU
rnacentral:rRNA from 1 species